rnacentral:rRNA from 1 species
AACACAUGCAAGUCGAGCGGUAACAGAAAUUAGCUUGCUAAUUUGCUGACGAGCGGCGGACGGGUGAGUAAUGCCUGGGAAUAUGCCUUAGUGUGGGGGAUAACUAUUGGAAACGAUAGCUAAUACCGCAUAAUGUCUUCGGACCAAAGAGGGGGACCUUCGGGCCUCUCGCGCUAAGAUUAGCCCAGGUGAGAUUAGCUAGUUGGUGAGGUAAGAGCUCACCAAGGCGACGAUCUCUAGCUGGUCUGAGAGGAUGAUCAGCCACACUGGAACUGGGACACGGUCCAGACUCCUACGGGAGGCAGCAGUGGGGAAUAUUGCACAAUGGGCGAAAGCCUGAUGCAGCCAUGCCGCGUGUAUGAAGAAGGCCUUCGGGUUGUAAAGUACUUUCAGUAGGGAGGAAGGUGUUGUAGUUAAUAGCUGCAGCAUUUGACGUUACCUACAGAAGAAGCACCGGCUAACUCCGUGCCAGCAGCCGCGGUAAUACGGAGGGUGCGAGCGUUAAUCGGAAUUACUGGGCGUAAAGCGCAUGCAGGUGGUUCAUUAAGUCAGAUGUGAAAGCCCGGGGCUCAACCUCGGAACCGCAUUUGAAACUGGUGAACUAGAGUGCUGUAGAGGGGGGUAGAAUUUCAGUGUAGCGGUGAAAUGCGUAGAGAUCUGAAGGAAUACCAGUGGCGAAGGCGGCCCCUGGACAGACACUGACACUCAGAUGCGAAAGCGUGGGGAGCAAACAGAUUAGAUACCCUGGUAGUCCACGCCGUAA